GCGGAAGUGGCGGAAUUGGCAGACGCGCUAGACUUAGGAUCUAGUGUCUUUCGGCGUGCAGGUUCAAGUCCUGUCUUCCGCA
rfam:Megamonas funiformis YIT 11815 genomic scaffold supercont1.4, whole genome shotgun sequence.